rnacentral:snRNA from 1 species
AAAUACAGACGCUAAUUAUGCUCCAGAAUUUGAAACGAUACAGAGAAGAUUAGCAUGGCCCCUGCACUAAGGAUGACACGCUUCCAGUAAAGAGAGACUCAAGAUUUUU